UUCAGAACCAGUGCAAUUCACCCUUAACCUGCUUUAAGGUUAUUAAGAGUGAGUCAGGCUUUUCCAACACCAGUGUUCAGAGAGACAACUGCUUGCAAAUAGCCAGGAAUUGCUUCACAUGAAGGCAAACCCCUACUAGAUGCAAACUGUUAUGAGCUGAAGGGAACAUUAUACCAUAGCCAAGGAUAUGUGAAAACUGGAGGCUAAAACCACAUCUUGCGCAAAGUGAUCUCAGAGAUGCUGAUCCUAAAAACUGCAUUAAUAAAUCUCUGCAAUGGAUGGAAAAGGAGGAAUUUCCUGACUAAAAAGGGUCAUUAUCAGAGGCACGGUCAUGUGUGCUUGCUUUUAAAUGCUCCUGGCCCAGCUAAUUACUCUGGGCACAAGGGAACUCCAUGGGCCAAGGGGAAAUAUUUCCAGUCCCAGGAGCGCCUCCUCCCGCUGCCAAGGGGUGGGUACCAUUCCUUGUCUGACACCACCACGGUCCGCAGCAGGGCCAUGCUAAAAGAUGCUGUGACUCGUUUCCCAGUGCCAGCUGCAGUGAGCAGCUGUCCAGCAGCACAUUUCAGGGGUGCUGGCAGUCUCCCUACAGGUGCUCCUGCCUUGCCCUUGCUGCCCGCCCUUACUUGCUGGUGCCCUCACGUCUGUAGGCUUCUUUUUUUGCACCUGUGGAUUCAGAGGCAGGAUUUGAAAGCAAAUGUGCUGGAACAUUUUCAGAAUCCAAAAAUAAACAACACCUGUCAUUAUAAGUGAUCUGCUGAAGCAGCCAUACGUGAAUGUCCAUGCCUCAUCUGAGCGCCUGAUGCUGAAAGGGCUUUUUGCUGUUGCUCACGGUGCUCUUGCUCUGCGUUCCCCAAGUGCCACUACGAGAACCUUUCCAGACAGGCUGCAAGGAGCCGUGCCCAGGAAAACCAGCCCCUAGGCUCUGUGGAUGAAGCUGAUGUGCAAAAAGAUUCCAGCUGAAAGCACCAGAGGACUUACCGGAGCACCUCCUCACCUACAAAUCCACAGGGAAGUGGAAUUAAAUGAUUGGACUUGACAGCUAGGGAGAGGUAUGCUGUCUCUGUUUAAUCUUCCUUGUAGGAUAACACCACCAAGACAAGGGCAGGGUACGGCCUAUCGCACUAAUACAGCCCUUCAGGAGUUUUCUUCGGAAUUGUAUGCCACCAAGGGCAUUUCUGACACUAAAAAAAAUGUAGAAAGAAACAAGAGAUGGUUCCAUACAAAUGUACCAACCCUCCCAGAAGCCUUGGCCAUAUAGCCCAGGCACUGUUCUGCCUCGUCAGGUUUGGUCGAUGCUCAGGUGCACUUCAUCUCUUUGAUACAGAAGCCAGAUUCCAGAUGCUGCAUGUGAGCCACUGCCAGGAUGCCACCCACACUGUGCAAUGGCCCCUGCAACUGAAAUGUAAAGACUUGUGGAGCAUCAGACCCCACAAACCUUACUGUAUUUAUGGAGAUGUACCUUUGCAACUGAGGCAUUCCUUAUAUUUUGGGUUUGAAUGAUGGAGAUGCCAAGGGAAAAAGCAUUUGAGAUCAUCCGUGGUACUGCUUUUACCAGAUGCAGACUCUUCUUUAUGGGGUCUCCCUGCACGUGAGAGGAAGAAGUGUCUGACUUGAUUGUUUCAUCCAACCUUCCACAAUAAGGAUUUGUGUUUUUCCCUGAUUAUACUGGCUUUAUGUCCAGAAAGCAAUGUAUCGGUGCCCAGUACAUAUCUUUCUUUGCCCACUAUCAAGCCCUGAAUUCUCUUCUCCUUUUUACCAAGAGCUCUUUCCCUUCCUGAUGAUGCUUCCUCGCAUACACCUGCAGACUGUUUUCAAACCUCCUUUUAAUCAUCCUGCAGAGCUAGGCUACACAUAUUUAGCUCCAUUAACCCUGCUUUACUUAGCCACUACACUGCGGGGCAGGAUGCUCUCAUCAAAUAACCCUUCCCCUCCCGCUCUGUGUGACCAUCAGCACACAGGACCUCUGCAGCCCGGGGUGCUCCACAGUUACUUCAAUCUCCUUUGUUACCACAAAUCUUUGUUGUAACUAAAACACAGAAGAAAGCACAUCCUCUGAAAUCCUUCAAAUCCUUCAGCUGUGCCUUCCUAGAGCCAUGGAAACAGUUUUGCAUGCCCAGGGCAGGGCAAGGUGGAUUUUUUUUUAUUAUUAUUAUUUUUAAACUUGUGGUCUGUCAUAAGGUCCUUUUGUUUCUCUUGUGAAUAUUCAAAUCAAAAUCCUGGACUGCGGCAUUUUUAUUUUGACUCUGAUAAGAGGUCACACCUGGGCAUGACCUGAACUUGACCAGCCUCCCUUGCCAACUGCUUUUCAUAUUGUUCUCAUAAUGAAUUUAAGUCAUCAGCUGUUAAUGCUUCUGCAACCCUACUGCUUCCUUCCUGGUGUUAGACAAGGAUUCAGAGGACCCAGUUAAUACUCAGAGCUCUAUCCAAUUUAAGAAGAGGAUUUGGAAUUCAAUUAGGUCACUUACUGGCUGCUUCUGAACCUGAGCUGGGACUAAAAUGUGUCCAAACCUUCCAUUGGGUCAGACUGAAAUAACCCAAGAUACAGCAGCGCACCUGAACCCAAGCCCCUCCCUGCUUCCCAUGCAAUGCUCUGCGUUUCCCGUGGCACCGUGGAAAUGCCUGCAUUUGUAUAGGAACUCACUCUCCGACAACGCAGCCCCAUCUAUUUGAUGCUGGCAUAAAGUGAGAUUAUUAAUAGCGUGUGAUCUACCGUGCCUUCCAUCUGAGGAUCUCUCUCAAAGCAUUUUAGAAGGCUGAAUCAAUUUUCAAAACACUCCUGUGUAAUGCUAUCCCCAUUUUACUGGAAGGUAAACCAAGGCAGUGGGAGGUAUUUUUCCCAAGGGUUCGUUCGUUGGUGGAGUCAGAAAUAGAGCCCCGGGCCUGUGCUCCAAAUAUAGCCUCCAUUCUCAUCCCGUGGCCGCGAGCUGGCUGCAGGAGUCCCCCCAUCACACCCUCGACAUCCCUCCUGCCUGCUGGGUCCUGCUUCCCAAACUGCUGCCUGUUGCCAUGGGAACGGCAGUGCAGCUCCAUGGACCAGGCUGGCUUCAGCUGUAUUAAUGCAAAUUGAGAGCAAAUUCACUGCAGUUAAUGGAGCUGCUCCAGAUUUCCAUGGUGGAGGGGGGUGAUGAGCAGGAUCAGUCCCUCUGGAUGCGAUAGAAGAAAGUGGUGAUCCAUUGAAAGUGGAGGAAAAUUAUUUGAUCAUUAGAGGGGGCAAAAGGAUGAAGGGCAGCUUACAACAAAGGUAUAAAAAGUAAAUCUGAGAACUCAACAUCACCGAGGGUGACAUGACCUACUUCUGACCAUUACCAGUAGAAGCUCUUAGAGGUCCCAAACAAGUGCAGUGUUUGCUCAGUGCAAGGAGGAGGAAUCACCAGAUUCAUGCUUUCACUGCAAGAAUAAGGGAUGAUGAAGAAUGGAGUCAAAGGCAAAGAAAUAUGGGGGCAAGAGGUGAAGCAGAGAGACCCCUUCUACCAAUCCUAACCAUCAGCCCCUU